rnacentral:lncRNA from 1 species
CAACUGUUGAGAAAGUCUUGUAGAGUUUAAAAUGCUGAAGAAAAAGGGAAGAAUCAUUAAGAAACUAUAAAUCUGAAGGAAAUCAAUAUGAUAGUCUAAGAUCUUGAAAUAGCAUAGCAUGUAUUUUUAUUUAUUAUUGCAGGCAGGUUGAUUAGUACCUGAGGGAGAUUCUCAGAAUCACAAAGCAUGGGCUGGAAGGGACCGCUGGAGAUCAUCUACAAGCCAGCACAAUGCAUCUAACCCAAUACAGACUAAAAGAUUCCACAGAAACAAGGAACUAUAGGGUACUGGAGCAGAAAUGCUAAGUCACAGCUUGAACCAGUGAUUGAGCACCUGGUGGGAAGGCAGGGCCAACCCAGGGGAGCUCAGGUGCAUGCAAUGAGGAUCUGCCCGAUCCUGGCUCCACCCCUUCCCAGACCUCAUUUAAGGACUGGCAGUAGGGGCAAGAGCAUCUCACUGGAGAUCCCUGCCUAGUAGAGGCCUUCUAAAGAAUAGAUGCCCCAGGGGAACAGAAGAUCGAGCAUGCUGCCCUUUGGCCAUUGGCACUAAUUUGCCAAUUCAGUAGAGAUGACAAAAGACGAAGUGGGGAGUCCACGCCCAUCUCAGGUAAAAGAAUUGCCUGUUUCAAGAAAACUGGGAAACACUGAUAGGACAAAAUAAAUGGGAGAAGAACAAGACUCCUAUGUCAUCUUGUGGACUUCAGACACAGCGACAGAUCAAACGUAGUUAUGGUGAGAAAACAUUGAUAUUCUGCCUUCUCCUUGAGCAUAAAGCAGACAACAAACACCUCUCUUUAACCUGUAAAUGCUAGUAGGGCUUUGUAUGGAUGCUCUAGGUCUGUUGGAAUUUUCUUCCUUCUAAAACGAGUCUCAGAGUCACUGUAGACUAAGAAAAAGAGCAGAUUAAUCGAAUCGGCCUCCCGAACCACCCAGAUUGUACUUCACAAAGGAUUCUGUGUGUUCUUAGCAAGGUCAAUUGACUAAGUAGUCAUCUGUGAGUGUGGAUUCUUGUCUCUUUCUAACCUUCUCUCAAAUUAGGAGAUAUCUGGGCUUGGUGCUCUAUUCUGCCAGUUGCUCUGGCUUCAAAUUUUGAAUUUUUUUAAAAAAUUACACAGUUGAGUCUAAUGUUCAAUUUCAGUGGUUUCCAGGGGAUUAUUUGUAGUGCCUAUUCUGCUAUACAGAGAAAUCUUUCUUUAAAAACACGAUCCAUCUUUCUAGUAGUACUUCAUUUAGAAAUUCAGAGUGGGCAGAUAGCCCUGAGAUAUGGAUAUCCUCUUCUUUUGCCUUCUAUCUGAAAAAGGGGGAAAAAAAAUCUAGUAUUUUUUUCAGUAUUGCUGAUGUCCCAGACACGUCUGAGUAACUGUCAUGUACAAUCAGUAUCUAUCCAUGGGAAUCUCAUAGAACCAGGGUGGUUUUAAUGUUCACCAGAAUAUUUCUGUGAGAGUUCCUAGGAUGCCAGGGAAAGCACUGACUGACCACAGAAAACAGAUAUGAGACAAGUGCAUGAUGACUUUUUUUUUUUAAGGAAAAAAGUAUUAAGGAUCCAACUGAGAACUACACUGACACAACUAUAUUUACUUUUGGUCACUGUUAAGUCUGUGUUUUCCAGCCUGUUAACUCCACGAGAAUAAGACAUAGCUGCAGUAUGGAGCUGAGUCAGUUUGGAUUCAGCAUUUAAAGAAAGAAUGGAAGAGAAGCAACCAGGUGUCAAAAGAUGUAAGUAGGUUAGAUCACAAUGAGGAGAUAGCCUUCCCAUCUGCUGGGAACUCCUUUGCAAGGUAAGACUGUUAGAUAUACAAGUCCCUGGCUGGGACUGGUGAAGAGGAUGUAAGCAUGGAAACUAACAGAGCUCUACUAUGAUCAAGUAGGGGAUGAGGGCAGCAUUCCCUAUAAAAAGGAUCCUGAGGUCCCUGCUGAGGUGCCAAGGUUGAAUAUUUUGCCAGAGGUGGAAACUGAAUUGAUUUGUGCCCCUCAGGCUAGCUCCAGGAACCUCACUCCUGCCUGAGAGCAUUAGUCCACAUGUGGAGAGAGGCUUUUCAGCUGGAGACGAGUUUAUGGCUUUUGACUUUUUCAUGUUCAUGUGUUUUUAUAAAGCCACAAUCGUUUUGUUUUUUUUUAUUGGGCUUUUAUAGAAAGGUCUCUGAAGUCUAGCAAAAUCUCAGCUUAACAGUAGAGAUUGUGCUAGAGAGACAUAUAAGAAGUAAGAGAAAAUAAGAAGGCCAUGGGAGAGAUGGGUAAAUACAGAAGUGCAAGCAGAGUUCUGUCAAAGCAAGUUUCUGACUUACACAUUUAACUUUAUCCGUCAGCCUAGGGGCAAGUCUACAGCAUGAUUAACCUCCUAGAUCUCACUUGUUCCAGGUCCAAGCAUUAUCUGGCCAGAGUGCAUUGCCAAUCCACCAUGCCAGCCAUCCCACCAGAGGCAUCUUGAUGUCAGCAUUGAUGUGACCCAGAAAUGAGGGGAGAGUGACGGGAAUUCACUGUGCUGGGGAAUUCAGUGCUGCAGAUAGUGAAACACCUUCCAAACCAGAAGAGGUUGCUCUGUGUUCCAAUAUUACUGAUGGUAAAGGAAAUGUUGUGUGAAAUGUUCUGGUCAGCCAAGGAAGUGGACCAUGCAGCAUGGGAUGGCAGCCCCUUCGUGAUCCCCGAGGCUUUGGUGCUGGGAUCAGCACAAGGAAGGACGCCAGAGGAAAAAGUCAGGUUCAGGUUGGAAACGUAUUGCUCAGAGGAAGCAGAUGGAAGAAGAGGUGUCUCUGACUUUGAAUCAGCUUCUGUAUGAUCAUGGCUUAAUGAUCAUAAAUCCUCUGGGGCCUGCAACCUAACAAGGGAAUAAAGGAGGAAGCGCCGUCUCUCUCAGAUCAAAGUAAAGAGAAAAGCUGAGAUGUAAAGGAGACGAAAUGAGCUACAGGGUAAGUUUGGCAACUGACAAAUGGAGGCCAUGGAGUUCUUCACAAAAGAUUAUACUUUCUACAGCCAUUUGCAAUGACACCUGCACUGUGCCAUUUCACUGUCCUUGGGCUUGGCAUAUAUUGCAGUGUAGUCUCCUUCAGCACAGGCCAAUUCAUGGUGGAGAGGUGAAGGAGCAGAAAGGGAACAACAGCAACAACAAAAUCUUACAACCUCAACAACAGAAGCCUCAAACCAACCAAGAAAACAGCUGUAUGUCCAGAGACUGCUGGUCCUUCCUCAGAUGAAGGACCUGUUUUCAUACCUGGCUCUGUCUCGUGUCCCAGACUCAAA